AUACGUAGGUGGCAAGCGUUGUCCGGAAUUAUUGGGCGUAAAGCGCGCGCAGGCGGUCUCUUAAGUCUGAUGUGAAAGCCCCCGGCUCAACCGGGGAGGGUCAUUGGAAACUGGGAGACUUGAGUGCAGAAGAGAAGAGUGGAAUUCCACGUGUAGCGGUGAAAUGCGUAGAGAUGUGGAGGAACACCAGUGGCGAAGGCGACUCUUUGGUCUGUAACUGACGCUGAGGCGCGAAAGCGUGGGGAGCAAACAGGAUUAGAUACCCUGGUAGUCCACGCCGUAAACGAUGAGUGCUAAGUGUUAGAGGGUUUCCGCCCUUUAGUGCUGCAGCAAACGCAUUAAGCACUCCGCCUGGGGAGUACGGCCGCAAGGCUGAA
rnacentral:rRNA from 1 species